rnacentral:rRNA from 1 species
UAAUACAUGCAAGUCGAACGCGCAGCGAAAGGUGCUUGCACCUUUCAAGCGAGUGGCGAACGGGUGAGUAACACGUGGAUAACCUGCCUCAAGGCUGGGGAUAACAUUUGGAAACAGAUGCUAAUACCGAAUAAAACUUAGUAUCGCAUGAUACAAAGUUGAAAGGCGCUACGGCGUCACCUAGAGAUGGGUCCGCGGUGCAUUAGUUAGUUGGUGGGGUAAAGGCCUACCAAGACAAUGAUGCAUAGCCGAGUUGAGAGACUGAUCGGCCACAUUGGGACUGAGACACGGCCCAAACUCCUACGGGAGGCUGCAGUAGGGAAUCUUCCACAAUGGGCGAAAGCCUGAUGGAGCAACGCCGCGUGUGUGAUGAAGGCUUUAGGGUCGUAAAGCACUGUUGUAUGGGAAGAAAUGCUAGAAUAGGGAAUGAUUCUAGUUCGACGGUACCAUACCAGAAAGGGACGGCUAAAUACGUGCCAGCAGCCGCGGUAAUACGUAUGUCCCGAGCGUUAUCCGGAUUUAUUGGGCGUAAAGCGAGCGCAGACGGUUGAUUAAGUCUGAUGUGAAAGCCCGGAGCUCAACUCCGGAAUGGCAUUGGAAACUGGUUAACUUGAGUGUUGUAGAGGUAAGUGGAACUCCAUGUGUAGCGGUGGAAUGCGUAGAUAUAUGGAAGAACACCAGUGGCGAAGGCGGCUUACUGGACAACAACUGACGUUGAGGCUCGAAAGUGUGGGUAGCAACAGGAUUAGAUA